AACGAACGCUGGCGGCAGGCCUAACACAUGCAAGUCGAGCGGGUCCUUCGGGACUAGCGGCGGACGGGUUAGUAACGCGUGGGAACGUGCCCAAAGGUACGGAAUAGCCUCGGGAAACUGAGAGUAAUACCGUAUGUGCCCCUCGGGGGAAAGAUUUAUCGCCUUUGGAUCGGCCCGCGUUGGAUUAGGUAGUUGGUGGGGUAAUGGCCUACCAAGCCGACGAUCCAUAGCUGGUUUGAUAGGAUGAUCAGCAACACUGGGACUGAGACACGGCCCAGACUCCUACGGGAGGCAGCAGUGGGGAAUCUUAGACAAUGGGGGAAACCCUGAUCUAGCCAUGCCGCGAGGACGAUGAAGGCCUUAGGGUUGUAAAGUCCUUUCAGCUGGGAAGAUAAUGACGGUACCAGCAGAAGAAGCCCCGGCUAACUCCGUGCCAGCCGCCGCAGUAACAC
rnacentral:rRNA from 1 species